CUUCUCGCGUCGUCAGUCUUUGGGCACCUCCAUCCGUGUCUAUUGUACCCUGUUGCUUCGGCGGGCCCGCCGCUUGUCGGCCGCCGGGGGGGCGCCUCUGCCCCCCGGGCCCGUGCCCGCCGGAGACCCCAACACGAACACUGUCUGAAAGCGUGCAGUCUGAGUUGAUUGAAUGCAAUCAGUUAAAACUUUCAACAAUGGAUCUCUUGGUUCCGGCAUCGAUGAAGAACGCAGCGAAAUGCGAUAACUAAUGUGAAUUGCAGAAUUCAGUGAAUCAUCGAGUCUUUGAACGCACAUUGCGCCCCCUGGUAUUCCGGGGGGCAUGCCUGUCCGAGCGUCAUUGCUGCCCUCAAGCCCGGCUUGUGUGUUGGGUCGCCGUCCCCCUCUCCGGGGGGACGGGCCCGAAAGGCAGCGGCGGCACCGCGUCCGAUCCUCGAGCGUAUGGGGCUUUGUCACAUGCUCUGUAGGAUUGGCCGGCGCCUGCCGACGUUUUCCAACCAUUCUUUCCAGGUUGACCUCGGAUCAGGUAGGGAUACCCGCUGAACUUAAGCAUAUCAAUAAGCGGAGGAA
rnacentral:rRNA from 2 species